rnacentral:rRNA from 1 species
GAUGAACGCUGGCGGCGUGCCUAAUACAUGCAAGUCGAGCGGAUCUUCAUUAGCUUGCUUUUGAAGAUCAGCGGCGGACGGGUGAGUAACACGUGGGCAACCUGCCUGUAAGACUGGGAUAACUUCGGGAAACCGGAGCUAAUACCGGAUAAUCCUUUUCCUCUCAUGAGGAAAAGCUGAAAGACGGUUUCGGCUGUCACUUACAGAUGGGCCCGCGGCGCAUUAGCUAGUUGGUGAGGUAACGGCUCACCAAGGCGACGAUGCGUAGCCGACCUGAGAGGGUGAUCGGCCACACUGGGACUGAGACACGGCCCAGACUCCUACGGGAGGCAGCAGUAGGGAAUCUUCCGCAAUGGACGAAAGUCUGACGGAGCAACGCCGCGUGGGCGGUGAAGGCAUUCGGGUCGUAAAGCUCUGUUGUCAGGGAAGAACAAGUACCGGAGUAACUGCCGGUACCUUGACGGUACCUGACCAGAAAGCCACGGCUAACUACGUGCCAGCCGCCGCUGUAAUAC